GGUAGUGUAGCCAAGUGGUUACGGCGUCACGUUUAGGUCCUCCUGGAUAAUCCGUGAUGGGUUUCCCGCGCGAGUUCGAAUCUCGUCACUAUCA